rnacentral:rRNA from 1 species
AGCGAACGCUGGCGGCAGGCCCAACACAUGCAAGUCGAGCGGGCGUAGCAAUACGUCAGCGGCAGACGGGAGAGUAACACGUGGGAACGUGCCCUUUGGUUCGGAAUAACUCAGGGAAACUUGAGCUAAUACCGGAUAAGCCCUUCGGGGGAAAGAUUUAUUGCCAUUGGAGCGGCCCGCGUCGGAUUAGCUAGUUGGUGAGGUAAUGGCUCACCAAGGCGACGAUCCGUAGCUGGUCUGAGAGGAUGACCAGCCUCACUGGGACUGAGACACGGCCCAGACUCCUACGGGAGGCAGCAGUGGGGAAUAUUGGACAAUGGGCGCAAGCCUGAUCCAGCCAUGCCGCGUGGAUGAUGAAGGCCCUAGGGUUGUAAAGUCCUAUUAACGGGGAAGAUAAUGACGGUACCCGUAGAAUAAGCCCCGGCUAACUUCGUGCCAGCCGCCGCCGUAC